CAUGUAGGCGGCAUAACAAGUCUGGUGUGAAAUAUCUCGGCUCAACCGAGGGAACGCACUGGAAACUGUUAAGCUUGAGUAUCGGAGGGGAAGCUAGAAUUCCUGGUGUAGGGGUGAAAUCUGUAGAUAUCAGGAAGAAUACCGGUGGCGAAGGCGAGCUUCUGGCCAGAUACUGACGCUGAGAUGCGAAAGCGUGGGGAGCGAACAGGAUUAGAUACCCUGGUAGUC
rnacentral:rRNA from 1 species